UACGUAGGGCGCAAGCGUUGUUCGGAUUUACUGGGCGUAAAGGGCGCGUGGGCGGCCACGACAAGUCACUUGUGAAAUCUCCGGGCUUAACCCGGAAAGGUCAAGUGAUACUGUCGGGCUAGAGUGCAGAAGGGGCAACUGGAAUUCUCGGUGUAGCGGUGAAAUGCGUAGAUAUCGAGAGGAACACCUGCGGCGAAGGCGGGUUGCUGGGCUGACACUGACGCUGAGGCGCGAAGGUCAGGGGAGCAAACGGG
rnacentral:rRNA from 1 species